GCCUCGGCAGUGCAGCUGGUUAGCCAACUCCCCGGGAAAGGGUGAAAUACGGGUUCGAUUCCCGUCUGAGGUU